rnacentral:rRNA from 1 species
GACGUAGGGCGCGAGCGUUGUCCGGAUUUAUUGGGCGUAAAGAGCUCGUAGGCGGCUUGUCACGUCGGGUGUGAAAGCCCGGGGCUUAACCCCGGGUCUGCAUUCGAUACGGGCUAGCUAGAGUGUGGUAGGGGAGAUCGGAAUUCCUGGUGUAGCGGUGAAAUGCGCAGAUAUCAGGAGGAACACCGGUGGCGAAGGCGGAUCUCUGGGCCAUUACUGACGCUGAGGAGCGAAAGCGUGGGGGAGCGAACAGG